UGGGGAAUUUUGGACAAUGGGCGAAAGCCUGAUCCAGCCAUGCCGCGUGCAGGAUGAAGGCCUUCGGGUUGUAAACUGCUUUUGUACGGAACGAAAAGGUUUGGCCUAAUAAGCUGAGCUCAUGACGGUACCGUAAGAAUAAGCACCGGCUAACUACGUGCCAGCAGCCGCGGUAAUACGUAGGGUGCGAGCGUUAAUCGGAAUUACUGGGCGUAAAGCGUGCGCAGGCGGUUAUGUAAGACAGAUGUGAAAUCCCCGGGCUCAACCUGGGAACUGCAUUAGUGACUGCAUAGCUGGAGUACGGCAGAGGGGGAUGGAAUUCCGCGUGUAGCAGUGAAAUGCGUAGAUAUGCGGAGGAACACCGAUGGCGAAGGCAAUCCCCUGGGCCUGUACUGACGCUCAUGCACGAAAGCGUGGGGAGCAAACAGG
rnacentral:rRNA from 1 species